UCUGACUCACAGCUUCAGGUGUUUGUUUGACAACAAGGAAGAAGCGUGUGAUGACAGAUGACAGUCACCAAAACAAAACACCUGCAGUUUGUUUUAAAUACAUAAUUUACAGAUGACAGCUUAGCGACAGACUCUUAAUGUGUUUAAACAGCACAUAUUCCAGCUCAACAGCAGAUUAAAGCAGCAGAAUCUGCGAUCAAGUGCAGGAAUCGACUGAAGAGACUCACCUAAUGAAGGUUGUGUUUGGACUGUACAGCCAAGAGAAACGGAGCUCUGGGACACUUGACAGCCAUGGACUGUAAGGACGGACGUCUGCUGCUGGACAGGGUUCCUCUUGUGGUCAUCAAGUGUAUCGAUCUUUAAGCAGAAGUGGCUGUCUGCUUUGCUCUGCUGCAGGCAAAAGCAGAAGCCCGUCUGGACACAGUUCUAGUGCUCAGGGGAGACACCCGUCCCGUUCUCAAACACACCACAGCAUUCACUCAUUUUAGAGAUGGGAAGUCUGUACCGUAAAGCCAGAUUAGUGGCUAGCCAGUUCAGUUUUAGUUUAGUUUGCACCAAUUCUUGGUUUUAGGUUCCAUAACGGAGCUCAGCUCAUCUCGGCUGCUCCCUGAUAUCAUGACAAUAAAGAGUGAUUGAAGUCCAGCUGCCUUCAUGUUACUUAAAUCUAUAUUGUUUCAGCAUCGAUAUCACAAUCUGCAAAUCUGCAAUAGUCACAUCACAGGAUCUUCUAUGUUGAGUCAGGAUUGUGAUUAACCAGAGAACAGAGUUCAGUUCAGAACAGUUUAACCCUCACUGAGUGAAAGAUUUUUCAGGCCUGCAUUAGACAAUGUAAGAUUUCAAGUGAAUUUAAACCAUUUGGGCUCUAGAAAUGAUCAAAUGUGUAGCUUCAACAAAGAAUAAUUGCAUUGAAUUAUUUCUACAGUGAAGACUAAAGUAGUCAACAUUUGAAGUGUAUCAGAAAAGUGUUUCAAAAUGUUUCUAAGACCAGACGAGAUGUUGUUAAACAGUUUGAGGACCACUUUAAUGAAAGGUUUUCACCUUAUAAAGUGAUAUUUUACAUUUGAUCUUUUAAUUUCUGUCCCUCAGUACUGUUAGACUCUCCAGAAAGCCAUAAAGCACUGUUUAUAUCAUUUGUAUAUUUCUUCUAUUUUAUUAAUUUAUGCUUGUUGUAUGUUUAUUAUAUUUUAUGCAGAUUCACUCUCGAUAAAAUCAUCACAAUCAACAUUUCUCCAAAUUCAAAUUAUUAUUCAUAUUGUGAAAUUAUAUUCCUAUUGCAGUAUAUAUCGCAGAAAAACUAAAUAUCGCAAUGUCAGUUUUUCCCAAUAUCCUGCAGCCCUACAUAAAACCCAGAACUUGUGCAAACUAAACUGAAAGUGAACCGUCUAACCUGCUAAUCCAGCUUCACACUACAGGCCCCUGACUGGACUGCUGAUGUGUUUAUUUUAAUGACUCUUAGGACAGUGGUUCAGUUCAGCUUUGAUUUGAGAGACUAAACUGAUGUGGCAAGAAAACAUUAUUCCAUGUAGUAAAACAAGAGAUCUGAGUUAUACAGCAUCAUAAAA